rnacentral:rRNA from 1 species
GACGAACGCUGGCGGCGCGCUUAACACAUGCAAGUCGAACGGAAAGGCCUGCUUUCCCUUGUGUAUUCCGGGUACUCGCGUGGGGAACGGGUGAGUAACACGUGCGUGAUCUGCCCCGAACUUGGCUAUAAGCCUGGGAAACUGGGUCUAAUUACCGACAGGACUGCAGGGUGGGGCCGGUGGUGGCAAACGAUUUUCUAGUGGUCGGGGAUGAGCUGGCGGCGUAUCAGGUUGUGGGUGGGGUAAUGGCCUACCAAGGCGGCGACGGGUAGCGGGCCUGGGAUGGGGGACGGGCGAAUUGGGACUGGGACAAGGCCCAGACGAGUACGGGAGGCAGCAGAGGGGAAGCAGGCGCAAUGAGCGGAAGCCAGAGGCAGCGAGGCUGAGUGGGGGACGACGGGCUUGGGGUGGUAAACUCCUGGCGACCGAGAGGAAGCCACUUGGAUGGAAGGGUGGUGACGGUAGUGGGAGAAGAAGCACCGGCUAACUACGUG